UUUUUUUCUUAUGGCUCCUCCGUCAUGGGGACUUUUCAUCACAUAAGCUGGCUCAGGUUUUCCUUGGGACCGCACUUGGGGUUUUCCUCGACGAGGUUUGGUUCUAGGUUGUGAGCUCUAUCUUGUAUCUGUGCUUUCCAGUUAUUGAAGAGAGCACGUUUGGGAGGUGGUUCUACGUGAAGGACACUUUUCAUAUACCUAACGUGUUGAAGUUUGAGUACGAUAUGGCCAUGGCUGAGAGACGGAAGCUAGCGUUGAAUUCUAAGUCGGAUUGAUUUGGUAUGCAACUUCUUGAAGACUUGCGCUUCACCACUACCGCCACCAAAAUCAAGGCCACUCCCGACGGCGAGUACAUCAUUGCUUCCGGCAUCUAUCCGCCGCAAGUCAAGGUCUACAAGGUCAAGGAGCUAGGCUUGAAGUUCGAACACCACUUGGAUUUCGAGAUCGUUGAUUUUCAAGUACUUCACAAUUAGGUUUAUAAUCUCCACUAGUUUUUGUUCCUUAUUUUAUUCAUGUUUAUAUUACUUAACAAAUGUUUUCUGUGUUUGUAAAAUGUAAAUUGUAAGUGACCUCUUCUUACAGAGGAGGAACUGCAUAGCUUCAAUUGAAAUAAAAAAGUUAGGUUUAUAUUCCAAUUCCAAUAGUUGUUUUGUUUUGCUUUAUUUUAUUUAUGUUUGCAUUCGAUAAUAUUUUCUCGUGUUUUUAAGUAAAUAAAUUGUAGGCAGUCUAUUGCGGAGGGAUUGGUUGGUUGGUUGAGGUAACAACAUAACUUCAAUUGAAAUAAAUUUAUGUUUAUAUUUUGAUUCCAAUAGUUGUUGCCUUCAUUUUGUUUAUGUUUACAUUCGUUAAUAUUUGUUGUGUUUGUAAACUGUAAGCGGUCUUUUAUGGAGGGAUUGGUUGGUUUAGAUAACUACAUAGCUUCAACUAAAAUAGAUAGUUAGAUUUUGUAUUUCCAAUAAUUGUUUACAUUAGUUAAUGUUUUCUUUGUGGAAAAAACUAUUGGAAAGCUAAUUUUCUAACUUGUCAAGGAUGAUUCCUCUCCUCCCUUAACACACAUUCCCCUGCAUUGAAUGUAGUUUCUCUAAGGUAAAUACUGGAACUUAAAUUCUGAUUUGCCCUGCUUUAUUUUCUUCAAUUAUUAAAGCUUUGUAUAUUUUGUGUGCGUACCUUGCAAUUUCAUAUCAAAUCACUGGAAAUUUAAUCUUGUCUGAAUUUUAGCUAGCUUCAUGUAUUAGUUGCCUGUGGUGGUGAAGAUGGUGUUGUGGAAUGCUUUGACAUGCGAGUGAGAUCUUCAAUUGGAAGAAUUGAUGUUGUUGGACCUAGUGGUGAUGUUAACCAGGAGAUCACUGCAUUGGAGUUUGAUGAAGAUGGUGGUUUCUUAAUGGUCGUUGGAAGUAGUGCAGGAAAGGUAUGAUGCUACAUUGCUACUUGCUAUCAUAGGUUUGUGACUUGCGUCAUUAUUUUAUAGAUGUUCAAUAUAUUCAUGUUAACCAUGAUGCCUAGACAAAUAAUAGUUGUUGCAAUCCCAUAGUUCAUUGAAAUUUUAGGAAAGCAAUGUAAAGCAACUUGUCCUGAUUAUUUGGCUAAAUUCCAACUACCUAAAUUUGCCAUUACUUAUUUAUUUUCAAUCUCUGCAUCAGUGAAAGUAAGGGAUUUAUGCAGCUUCCUUGGAGAACACCUCGGCUCUAGCCAUACAUUAUGCACAAUUUCUUUGUCUCUCCUUAACGUGGAGAAAAUAUCAAAUAUAUUUAUAUCAUUUUUUAUUGGUGUGUUACAGUAGUGAAGCUUGGCCCAAGUUAGAGUCAUGAGCUACUUGAGUCCACACAAUGAGCUCAAUUGGGUUAAGCCAAGCGUACUCUCAACAUUUAUAGCAAGUUCAGAUUCACAUUGUUUUCAUGUUAAUUGUGGUGGAAAGAAUGUAAAGGUGAUGGAAAAUGAUGAAAAUAUUCACUAUGUAGGAGAUGGAGAUAUGUUAGGUAGUGGUGCUGCUAAAUAUUUCAUUCAUUCAAUUCUACUGGGCUAGCAAGGGGACUACAAGGAUUUCUGCUAGUAGAGUUUAUGGAUUAUAAGAUAUUGGAUUAUAAGAUAACAUCUCGACUGUAGGUCAUUUUACAUAUUUCAGUUCCCCUAAGGGAUAUUUUAGUGUAUGUAAUAUAAAAACAGGCUACUAGGUUAGUUAUGACAUGACAUGUUUCCAUAGUUUUUCUUGUAUAACUCUAUUAGUAUUUGUAAAAAAAAAAAAUCCAGUUUGAAAAUUCUUAGCUCCAGACUAACAAUGAUUAGCAUGGGUUGAAUACUUUGAGUUUGAGCCAAACUUAGAUGUAGAUAGUCCAACCACAACUACUCUUCUAUAUUGUUUUGUGUUCUCAACUUAUCUGGACUAAUUACUUUUUUUAUAUUUGCAUGCUCAAGAGUUCAGUAAAAUAACCCCUUUACCUA